GCGACCCGCGCCCGCUGGCGGAGAGAGGGGCGAGUUCCAAGUCUUAGAAAUGGCCGGAGAGCCGGGCGGGAGCAAUUUGGCACACCUGAUACUUAACUUGAAUGAACGACGUGACACAAGAGGACCCCAGGGAACAAACCUGAAAGCCAGCGCCUCCUGAAUACACAGACUGCCGGAGGGCAGAUGACGUUAGACACUGUCCCCAGAUAUAAAAGGCAUCACUUCUUUCAGAGAGAAGCGGUGAGACUAUAAUAAAGUAAUGAGACAGUU